AUGAAGUACAUGGAAGAAAAGAUGCAAAAAGCUAGGUCACACACUGUAGUCCCCAUUGGUAAUCAAGAAAGAAGGUUUGAGGUCUGCUUAUCUAACAACAAAUUCGGUUGUGCAAAUGAGCUGCGGACACAUGAGGUCAAAAUUGGAAAUGAAGUAUGGCCAACGUGUGAGUGCGCAUGCAACAAACCAAAGUUGCUUCACCUACCAUGCUCCCAUGUACUUGCUGCUUGCGGGCAGCUUGAAAUGGACACAAUAUCGUUCGUGUCUCCAUAUUUUCUAAAAGAGUCCGUCCUCAAUACCUGGACGGGUGAGUUGCUGGGGUUUCGCUCAAUGGGUAACUUCAGCACCGUUAAUCCUAUUGAAAGGCGCUACAUUCCAGACCCAGAGAAUAUGCGUACAAGUAGAGGUAGGCGACAAUGCCGACGCAUCCGGAAUGAUAUGGAUGAAUCUGAAGCGGGAGGUGCCACUAUGCAAUGUAUUUUAUGCAAUGAAUUUGGCCAUAGGGACACUAAUUGUCCCACUUUCGUCACUGGGCGUGGACGAGGGAACCGGGGACGAGGAGCAAGAGCAAGAGUAGGAAGAGGAGGAAGAGGAGGAAGAGGUCGAGGCGGAAGCUAG
rnacentral:rRNA from 1 species